CAGCCCUUGACAUCCCGGUCGCGGUUACCAGAAAUGGUUUCCUUCAGUUCGGCUGGACCGGUGACAGGUGCUGCAUGGCUGUCGUCAGCUCGUGUCGUGAGAUGUUGGGUUAAGUCCCGCAACGAGCGCAACCCUCGCCCUUAGUUGCCAUCAUUCAGUUGGGCACUCUAAGGGGACUGCCGGUGAUAAGCCGAGAGGAAGGUGGGGAUGACGUCAAGUCCUCAUGGCCCUUACGGGCUGGGCUACACACGUGCUACAAUGGUGGUGACAGUGGGCAGCGAGACCGCGAGGUCGAGCUAAUCUCCAAAAGCCAUCUCAGUUCGGAUUGCACUCUGCAACUCGAGUGCAUGAAGUUGGAAUCGCUAGUAAUCGCGGAUCAGCAUGCCGCGGUGAAUACGUUCCC
rnacentral:rRNA from 1 species